ensembl:lncRNA
CUUAUCCUGAGAGACUCACAGCAAAGAGCCUGGUUUGUUUGACAUUGUCAUUGUCAACGAUGAUUUGUAUGAAGCUUAUGAAAAUUUGCAAACAGGAUGGUACACCAAUGAACCACAAUGAGAUGUUCUGUGAUGCAGCCAAUGGGGACAUUGAUGAAGACACAGACUCUGUUACAGCAUAUACAGCUCCAGAGAAAAUUAAGAGACCACUGCACCUUUUUCUUUCCUUUCCAAAAAAGUUGAAAAGGAAGGUUUUGAGUGAGGAACUUUAACCCUAAUUUUAACCCUUCUGUUCCUCACUCAAAACCUUCCUUUUCGACAUUUCUGGAAUUAUUUAAGAAGUAUAUUUUGUCCUUUCUUGGUUAAAAGUAAUUAUUUUGCAAUCAUUCAUGUAUACUGCCAAGGAAGUCAAGC